rnacentral:other from 1 species
GAUCCCCUGCUGUGCUCGCGAUCAAUCUGGCCUUGUUAUGAGCCAACACCAUAACACAGGGAACUUUAACUCGCAUUAGCUAGAACGGGCCCCCUCCGAGGGGAGGUUCGAACUAUUGCGGUGGGUACCCACCUGCCAACGCAGGUUCAUUCGGGUCAGCACUAGCGGUAUGGUGGGGGGUUG